CAGUCGCCGCGGUAACACGAAGGGGGCUAGCGUUGUUCGGAAUUACUGGGCGUAAAGGGCGCGUAGGCGGCCAUUCAAGUUAGAUGUGAAAGCCCUGGGCUCAACCUAGGAAUUGCAUUUGAUACUGUUUGGCUUGAGUUCGGGAGAGGUGAGUGGAAUUCCCAGUGUAGAGGUGAAAUUCGUAGAUAUUGGGAAGAACACCAGUGGCGAAGGCGGCUCACUGGACCGACACUGACGCUGAGGCGCGAAAGCGUGGGGAGCAAACAGGAUUAGAUACCCCGGUAGUCCCUGUCUCUUAUAC
rnacentral:rRNA from 1 species